AAUAUUAUUCAAAGAAGAAGCGGGGUAGAUGCUUUCAAAACUGAGUCGGAGGCACGUACCAAGAGGCCGUCGGGUGAGUCCGGCGUGAGAGUCAUUCCCAGCUCAGACCGACGGUUCUGGACCUUCACCCGGACGAUGUUGGCUCUCACCUAAAUCCAACUUGCUGCAGUUGGAGUUGCUCUCCUCCGUCACGCUGCAUUUGUAGACGUCUCCUUUCCUGUUGCCGGGCAGCCCGUCCCAAGGAGCGCCCACCAGCAUUCUGCACGGUAACCAUUCUCAAGAGAAGCCGAAAAGGGCAUCAUCCGGACCGCCGAAGAUCCGCGGAUGCGUCACGUCAAUGUUGAAGCACUGGCACCAGCCUGCAGAAUUGAGCACAAGCAAGAGAGCUCCCAUCAAUAUUGACCAAAGGAGGUUGGGAUGCACAUUCUCUCAAAUUAUUGAGCCAAUAAUCAAUUCUAAAAAUAUUGGAUGGCUGCUGUCCUAGUUGAGAGCAUUUCAAAAGAACCAAAGCGAUUUUGCCAAUUUUCCUUGAUUUACAUACGAUGAUGCACUUGUCUUUAAAUUGUCAAUGCGCGCAAGGAAUCACAUACAGCCACUCUUUAACUGUCAUUUCCAAGAAGAAAAAUAACACCGACUAGAGCCCGCUAUACUAUAUUUUUGUUUCGGUUUUGGGGAACACGGACUGGCAACCGGGAGGACGAGGGAGCCAGUGAAAAGGAUGAAUAAACAGCGGCGGCAUACAGCUAGCAGGGCUGAAAGGGAGUUCAGUCCAGAGGUGAGGAAGGAAAGGCGUGUUGGAGUGAGGAGAAUAGUGAGCGCCCUGUUGACGGCAGCAUAAGUCUGCCCUUUGAUUCCGUCGCGAGCGGUAAGAUGCUCGUCGGCUGGCUGGCCCGCUCCUGAAAACAUGCCAGGCUUCUUCAUUAGAAUCUCACGGUGUCCGUCGGAGCGGGAUUCUCUUCGGUUUUCUUUUGCAUACGUCAAUGAGGGAUUUGACAUGCGUGACUUUUUUUUAUCCAGUGUACAUGUCUUGCAUGUGAGCUAAAUUGUACCUAAUGAAGUGUCUGGUGAGCUGACGUCACUUGCGGUUUUGCAGCAACUGGGUCCAUUCGUGACCCGACUGAUUUGACUGUGCAGCUCACGAAAGAGCGAUGCCAAUAAAGUCGUCGGUAUGCCCGCAAAUUCUAACCAGGCGGACGAAACCGGAGACGGGGCCACGCUCCAUCUGCACGCGUGUCGUUCUUGUCGCGUUUGCUCACCCGCCGCCGGGCUGUUUUUCUUGCUCGUUGAGUCGAAUGCGUUUGCGAGCCAGCAGCGUUUGACGAAGCCAGCGGGGCUUCCAAGUGGCAAACCUCGAGCGACUUGGACGGGUCGCGGCCAUCCUUCUUGAUUCCACGCAGAUGUUCCGGAGAUUUCGGAACGCCAGCGCCGAAUCUUCCCUUUAUGGGCCUUUGGGUUAUUUUUGAACAGGUCAUUGCCUUGGAUUCUUUUCUUGUGGCCGCAUGCAUCCACGCCCGACUCUCCACAAUAAGAUUCCUUCUCGUCUCCUUGAUCCUCCUCUUCCAAAACCAUAAAUGGCCUCUUUUUUUGUCUGCAGACCACAAGACCCCCCCCCCACGCCUUAUAGACCCCCCCCCCGUUCCCGUUUAUAUAUGACAUUGUACCGCAGCCUGUCUUGACCACCCAUCGCCAUGACGACUGGCUGCAAACAUUUAUCGAGUCAAAGCGUGUCCAGAUUCUUAACCGCACGUUCAGCUCUGGCUGUCUGAGUGCGUGUAAUUACUUGCGUGCGUUGAGCUUCAUGUGAAUGUGUUUGGACGCUUGCGAGCAUUUUGAUGAAACACCAAAAUAAGGGAUCUGCUUUCAUGGCUGACGACAUUUUCAAACAUGGCCUGUAUGGGAUGCAGUCCGCUUGUUGAGGGGCUUGAACGAUGGCGCUCGCCUCUUUCUUCCCCUCCUCUCCCUUUUAACUGAAGGCCCAGUGAGGUGUUGGAUUCCUUGAUUUGAUUUCCCUUUCCACCGCAGAUUGUCUCUCCAUUAUCUUGAUCAUUUCAUUCUCAUCCGUCACCCCCUCGCGGGGAUACGGGGGUGGAAAGAGGUUCGGCGUGCGUGGGAAUAAAAGUCAGCUCGAUUAAAACGAGCAGAAUUUAUGAAUGGCCGCGCACGUACAGGAAAACAGAGCGCGGCUGCUGCGAGCAUCACGGCAGCUCUGUUGAAAGCAUUAACAUGACACGCAUACUUGCUCACCUACAUGCUGCUGUAUGACACACAUGCGAGAACACUUAAAGCGCAGGUUGAGAAAACACUAACAGAAGCAAUGAAUGCAACACUUGAUCACAAUCGCAUCCGAUUAGAUACGCAGGAAUCCAAGUACAAUUGUAUUGAGGUCAUUUUGAUCAGUAAAAGAGUACAAAUACAAGAAAAACAGUUCAUGCUAGUAUCAUAUGCCAUCCUGAUUUUUUUUCACUCUGAACCAACCAUACUCAGAUAGUCCUGUAUUCAAAAGGUUCAUGAUUCAAAGUUUUAGACACCAAAACCAAUCGAUAUUGACUUGGUAGUCCACUAAGAACACUUUUGCGUAACGGUAAAGAGAUUAACCGCUUCUUGACUGAUGAAAUUAAAUGAAAAUGAGCCAUACGCAUAUUGGAAGAGAAACAUGAAUGAAAGCUGGCCGUUACCUUUAAGAAGGAAGAUGCACAGCAGGUAUGCCCUCAGCUCCAUCUAGAACGGCCAAUCAGACUCCCACAAUGUAGUUUUUUUUUUUUUUUUUGUCUCCCUAGCUUGUUGAAGAAACAACAAACCCUUUCGGUGGUGUCGUCAGUGCAGAGAUGCGUCGAUUCCAAUGAAAUGGUGCUGCAGUGGCAUCUCGGCGGGGAUUUCAGUUCGGCGUUGGGUGUCAGCAAUGAUCCGUAUUGAAGUCGUAUCCAAUAGGCGGCAGUGAUGAUUAAAUCAUGACGAAGCGAGAAGUGGCAGUUGUUCCUUUGGAGCGCGCCUCUCGAUCCACAAGUGUGCGUCGGAUCGGCCACUCAACAGGUCCGCCGGGCCAUGCUCCUCCUGCCCAGAUUGGCUUGUGGGGAACGCGCGCGCGCACGUGCACUACAACUAAGCAACCCCCGGUGUGCGCUGCAGUUCCGAGUUUAACCUGUUGCGUUUCACUUUCGGGGGCAAUGAAAGCGCGCAUUCAUCAUGCCCUCCUUGCAUCCAGCGCGUGCACAGCGUCUGUUCUUUUUCAACAAGUUCGACCCAACGGCUCACUCUCUCUUACACUACCCUCCCCUCCCUCGUUCUCUCCCCCUCUCGCUGGAAGACUGGUUUGCCAUGCUUUCGUCAUUUGCGGCUUGCUUAAAUAUACAGUAGUU